rnacentral:rRNA from 1 species
CUUCGGAGGACAUUGGGAGACUAGAAUGUGGAGAGGGUAGAGGAAUUCUGGUUUACCGUGAACUGUGUAGUGUCAGGAGGUACAUCCAAGGCGAAGGGAGCUACCUGGCCCAACAGUGACAUGAGGCAUGAAACGUGGGGAGCAAACAGGAUAAGAUACCCUGGUAGUCCACGCCCUAAACGAUGCGAACUGGAUGUUGGGUGCAAUUUGGCAUUCAGCAUCGAAGCUAACGCGUUAACUUGACCGCCUGGGGAGUACGGUCGCAAGACCGAAACUCAAAGGAAAUGGAGGGGGCCCGCACAAGCGGUGGAGUAUGUGGUUUAAUAUGAUGCAACGCGAAGAACCUAACCUUGCCUUGACAUGUCGAGAUCUUGAAAGAGAUGGAUUGGUGCCUUCGGGAACUAGAAAACCGGUGCUCCAUGGCUGUAGUCAGGUCGUCUCCUGAGAUGUUGGGUUAAGUCCCGCAACGAGCGCAACCCUUCUCCCUAGUUCCCAGCAUGUAAUGGUGGGAACUUUAAGGAGACCGCCGGUGGCAAACCGGAGGAAGGGGGGGAAGAAGUCAAGUUCUCAUGGGCCUUACGGCCAGGGCUACACACGUACUACAAUGGUAGGGACAGAGGGGUGCAAGCCGGGGACGGUAAGCCAAUCCCAGAAACCCUAUUUCAGUCCGGAUUGGAGUUUGCAACUUGACUCCAUGAAGUCGGAAUCGCUAGUAAUCGCAGAUCAGCAUUGUUGCGGUGAAUACGUUCCCGGGUCCUUGUACACACCGCCCGUCACACCAUGGGAGUUUGUUGCACCAGAAGCAGGU